GGGCAUGUCCAUUCAAUGAACACAUCCCAUAGUUUCAGUUAUAGAAUCAAUAAUGCCAGAUACAAUCAAUUUAGCUCAGUACUACAGAUUCAGGACUGUCGGAUAUAGUCAAUCCUUAUCAAUAUAAAUAGACUUCGGGAUCACCCAUUAGAUAGGACUGAUCUUAACUAUGGUCAAUCAGUAUCAUCAUAAUUUGAUCCAGAGAUCACCCACUAGGUAGGACUGAUCUCAUAUUAAGUCAAAU
rnacentral:lncRNA from 1 species